GAUGAACGCUAGCGGCAGGCUUAAUACAUGCAAGUCGUACGGGAUCCGAGGUAGCAAUACUUUGGUGAGAGUGGCGCACGGGUGCGUAACACGUAUGCAACCUACCUAUAACCGGGACACAACCCACCGAAAGGUGAGCUAAUAUCCCAUAACACUGCGAGAUGGCAUCAUUUUGCAGUUAAAACUCCGGUGGUUAUAGAUGGGCAUGCGCGACAUUAGCUAGUUGGUGAGGUAACGGCCCACCAAGGCUACGAUGUCUAGGGGUUCUGAGAGGAUUAUCCCCCACACUGGUACUGAGACACGGACCAGACUCCUACGGGAGGCAGCAGUAAGGAAUAUUGGUCAAUGGGCGCAAGCCUGAACCAGCCAUGCCGCGUGAAGGAUGACGGCCCUAUGGGUUGUAAACUUCUUUUGUACGGGAAAAAACCACCGGUCGUGUAUCGGUGCUGAUGGUACCGUAAGAAUAAGCAUCGGCUAACUCCGUGCCAGCCGCCGCGGUAACAC
rnacentral:rRNA from 1 species